GCAAUAACAACCACUUUCCUUUUUCAUUUGCCUACUGGUAUCCUUGAGAGCCCAUAAGGAUGUCCCACUACACGUGAACCAAUAUUUAAUAUUGUCAACUAACCGGCCGUCCCCAUACCCCGUCCGAUAUGAGCGCCAAAAUUAUCAUCCGUCAAUACUCCGUCCGAUAUAAGGAUGAAUCGGACCGUUCCCAUACCUCGUCCUGUAUGAGUGUCAAAAUACCAUUUAUCAAUACCUCGUUCAGUAUGAGACAACGUUCACGAUAGGAUUUUCUAUAUACCCGGUCCGUCUACCACCUCCCAGAAUAUCCAGUAAGGCUACCAUUCAUUAAUUCACAUGACCAAAUAAUUUUUCGUUUGCAUAUCAAUUUUUAAUUCCACAAAUCAACCGUAAAUCAUG
rnacentral:lncRNA from 1 species